CCGGGCGCCACGCGGCUGCGGGCCAGGAAGGUCGACCGCCUCCGACAAGGCGGAUCCUCGCAGGAACUGAAGAUCCUAACUGCCAACAGAGACUGGUCUUUUUGUCGGAAAGAUAAACGGAAGGGACCGGAAGUGAGGAACAGGAAGAGACUGUGGAGAACCGAGAGCGGAAAGAAAUGGCAAAAGGACCUUGAGCUGGAAGACCAUUACAGAUUAUCUAGCAGUGUAUCACAAAGAUCCGCCUCGAAGAGGUGAUCAAGGCCAGAGUCAGAGAUGUGACUAUGAUAUGUGAGCCAAGGAAUGAAGACAGCCUCUGGCUGCUGGAAAAGGUAAGGAAAAUAUUCUUCUCUUGAGCUUCCACAAGGAAAGCAAUCUGCCAACACUUUCCAUUUCAUAAUACCCACUUAAACUUGACUCCCAGCACUUUAAGCUUGUACUGUUUUAAGCCACAAGGCUUGUGGUCAUUUGUUACAGCAGCAAUAUGAUUCUGAUACCUAGGAAUGGAGUGCUGCUGUAACAAAUAACUAAAAGUGGAGGAGGGGCUUUGAAAUUGGGCUAUGGGCAGAAGCUAAGGAAUCCUGAUGACAAAGCCUAAAAUGAUCUAUCCAGAUUGUCAGAUGAAAAACAGAUGUUAUCAACCCUGCUAGUGAGGACUCAGAAGGAAAUGAAGAGCACAAGAGAGAGAGCUUGGUCUCAGAAGAUGCUGAGACCAUCAUAAAAACUCUAAAUGAGAUGUGGACAGUAAGAGAUAUUCUGGCAAGGACUCAAGGAACUUGAGAAACAUUCAUUGGAUUUUUUUUUUUUUUUUGAGAUAUAAUCUACAUAGCUCAGGGUAGCCUAGAACUCUUGAUCCUCCUUCCUCAGACUCCCAAGUGCUGCUGGGAUUAGACCUGAGAAGCGACACACAGCAAGGAACAUGUUACUGGAAACUGGAAAGGGGAUCCUUAAAUAAUAGCAGAAACUUAAGCUGGCCUGUGUCCUACUAGUUAUGUGAGAAACAGAACUUAUACACAAAACUGGAUAUUAAACUCAAGUUUCCUGG
rnacentral:lncRNA from 1 species